UGCAGUCGAACGAAGUAGCAAUACUUAGUGGCGAACGGGUGAGUAUAAUGUGGGUAUCUGCCCUUUGGUUUGGAAUAACACGAGGAAACUUGUGCUAAUACCGGAUAAGCCUUCACAGGGAAAGCUUUAGCGCCAAAGGAUGAGCCUGCACUUGAUUAGCUAGUUGGUAGGGUAAUGGCCUACCAAGGCAACGACCAAUAGCUGUUCUUAGAGGAAGACCAGCCACAUUGGGACUGAGACACGGCCCAAACUCAUACGGGAGGCAGCAGUGGGGAAUCUUGCACAGUGGGGGAAACCCUGAUGCAGCGAUGCCGCGUGAGUGAAGAAGGCCUUUGGGUUGUAAGGCUCUUUCGUCGGGGAAGAAAAUGACUGUACCCGAAUAAGAAGGUCCGGCUAACUUCGUGCCAGCAGCCGCGGUAAUACGAAGGGACCUAGCGUAGUUCGGAAUUACUGGGCUUAAAGAGCUCGUAGGUGGUUAGAGAAGUUGGUGGUGAAAUCCCAAGGCUUAACCUUGGAACUGCCACUAAAACUUUUUGACUAGAGUGUGAUAGAGGUAAGUGGAAUUUCUAGUGUAGAGGUGAAAUUCGUAGAUAUUAGAAAGAACACCAAUUGCGAAGGCAGCUUUCUGGAUCAUUACUGACACUGAGGAGCGAAAGCAUGGGUAGCGAAGAGGAUUAGAUACCCUCGUAGUCCAUGCCGUAAACGAUGUGUGCUAGACGUUGGAAACGUAGUUUUCAGUGUCGCAGCAAAAGCAUUAAGCACACCGCCUGGGGAGUACGACCGCAAGGUUAAAACUCAAGUGAAUUGACGGGGA
rnacentral:rRNA from 1 species